GUAAUAUUUAAGCAGUUCCUAACAGGGAAAACAAGUCAAUCAUUCAUUUUGUAACCAUAGUUUGCAUUCUUAUUUUUCAAAGGACAUCUUGCACUGUAUCAUUGGAAAUUUUUGAAGCAGAAUCCCAUCAUGUUAGCCUCCAACACUUUAGUUUGCUUGUGAGUUAAUAGAAAAGCAAUGUGCGAAGGAUUUUUCCGCAGGACAAUGCUUCAACUUGUGAAUCUUUUGAGAAACCUAUCACUUGCUGAGAAGCAGUGACUUUAAAAAUAGAACUCAUUGCCAUGCAUAUUAGUGGACAACCUGCUGUUCCAGACAUUCUAAAAGGAGUUAUCCUGGCUCAAGCAGUAAAUCAAGACUGAAUAUGAGACUUUGCCUUUAGCUUGAGUAAUGUACAUAUUUUGGAGGAAAAUGGAAAUUAUUGGGAAAUAUAAUGUAGACAAAUUGAAAUCCUCUCUGAAUAUAGAAAAUCUCAAGUAUCCAGUACCUGACACAACUACCUUACCACCAAUCAGAAAUUUGAGGUUGUGAAGAAAGAGGAGGACAGAAUUCAUCAUUGGGGUAAGCAAGAAUGUUUUCUGUUUUCUCACGUUCUGUACCCUGACUAAAUUUUUUGCCCCCAGUUGAAGAAUACCAAAGCUAUGCUUUUCCCCUCAAGGGAAGGAAACAAUAGGAAAGGAAGGAGACUCAUAGACGAUAAGAAAUGAUCAUAAGGGGAAUAUGCUUAUUACAAAGAAGGAAUGAGUAAUAAUAAUGGUUGAAGAUAAGCAAUGCUGGUUACAGUAAGUAAGAAAUGGACAUUUGGUUAUUAUUAUGGCUAUUAACAUAAAAAAUCAUCAAUGGCUUAGGAUCAAAAGACUAAACAUCCUAGUUUGCCUAGAGUGAUCUCAGUUUGAACCUUUUUCUCUGUCAUAUAAUUCAAUUUAGCAUUUGUCAUGGAUUUUUGUUUGUCUUCCUAACGAAGUAAUAUUAUUACUAAUGAAAUAGGCCAGGAUGGAGUUAUGCAAUCUGCCCUUUAAACCGCAAUUGUCUGCCAUGGUUUCAAGUAGUAAAGUGUUAGAACCAUAGUGAAUGAACACAAUUCUAGAUAUAAUACAUUAUUAAAUCUGAGAGAGAGCCUGGAGAGCCUUUGCCUCUUUUCUCUGACAACAUCUGAGAAUUUGCAAAAGUGAAAAAUAAACUUGCCGUGUUAAGCUGCUUACA
rnacentral:lncRNA from 12 species